rnacentral:rRNA from 1 species
UACCUACGGGAGGCAGCAGUCGGGAAUAUUGCGCAAUGGAGGAAACUCUGACGCAGUGACGCCGCGUGCAGGAAGAAGGUUUUCGGAUUGUAAACUGCUUUAGACAGGGAAGAAAAAAGACAGUACCUGUAGAAUAAGCUCCGGCUAACUACGUGCCAGCAGCCGCGGUAAUACGUAGGGUGCAAGCGUUACUCGGAAUCACUGGGCGUAAAGAGCGCGUAGGCGGGAUAGCAAGUCAGAUGUGAAAUCCUAUGGCUUAACCAUAGAACUGCAUUUGAAACUGUUAUUCUAGAGUAUGGGAGAGG